rnacentral:tRNA from 1 species
GACAACGUGGCCGAGUGGUUUAAGGCGUUCGCCUGCUAAGCGGAUUCCCUUGGGAGCGCAGGUUCGAAUCCUGCCGUUGUCG